ensembl:lncRNA novel transcript
CCCCAGCCACCCCUCCCCGAUGUGCUGGUCUGGAUGCUCAGCGGGCAGCGCCGUGUGGCCUGGGCCCGGAUCCCUGCCCAGGAUGUGCUGUUCUCUGUGGUUGAGGAGGAACGGGGCCGAGACUGUGGGAAGAUCCAGAGUCUAAUGCUCACGGCACCCGGGGCAGCCCCUGGUGAGGUCUGUGCCAAGCUGGAGCUCUUCCUGCGGCUGGGCCUGGGCAAGCAAGCCAAGGCCUGCACCUCUGAGCUGCCCCCGGAUUUGCUGCCCGAGCCCUCAGCCGGGCUGCCCUCCAGCCUACACCGGGACGACUUUAGCUACUUCCAACUCCGGGCUCACUUGUACCAGGCCCGGGGUGUGUUGGCUGCAGAUGACAGUGGCCUCUCGGACCCCUUUGCUCGAGUCCUCAUCUCUACCCAGUGUCAGACCACACGGGUCCUGGAGCAGACGCUGAGCCCUCUGUGGGAUGAACUCCUGGUAUUUGAGCAGUUGAUCGUGGAUGGGAGGAGGGAGCACCUGCAGGAGGAGCCUCCAUUAGUGAUCAUCAAUGUAUUUGACCACAAUAAGUUUGGCCCCCCCGUGUUCCUGGGCAGGGCACUGGCCGCCCCAAGGGUAAAGCUGAUGGAGGACCCAUACCAACGCCCAGAGUUGCAGUUCUUCCCCCUGAGGAAGGGACCCUGGGCAGCCGGAGAGCUCAUUGCCGCCUUUCAACUCAUUGAACUAGACUACAGUGGCCGACUUGAGCCCUCAGUGCCCAGUGAGGUGGAGCCCCAGGAUCUGGCACCCCUGGUUGAGCCCCACUCUGGACGCCUGUCCCUUCCACCCAACGUGUGCCCAGUGCUCAGGGAGUUCCGUGUUGAGGUGCUGUUCUGGGGUCUUAGGGGACUUGGUCGUGUGCAUCUGCUCGAGGUGGAGCAGCCCCAGGUUGUACUGGAGGUGGCUGGGCAAGGUGUGGAGUCUGAGGUCCUGGCCAGCUACCGUGAGAGCCCCAAUUUCACUGAGCUUGUCAGGCAUCUGACAGUGGUCUUCAAAGACACAGCUCCUCUCUUCCACCCCCAGGACUUGCCGGAGCAGCCUUACUUGCAGCCUCCACUCAGCAUCUUGGUGAUUGAGCGCCGGGCCUUUGGCCACACAGUCCUUGUGGGUUCCCACAUUGUCCCCCACAUGCUGCGAUUCACAUUUCGGGGUCAUGAGGAUCCUCCUGAGGAGGAAGGAGAGAUGGAGGAGACAGGGGAUAUGAUGCCCAAGGGACCUCAAGGACAGAAGUCCCUGGAUCCCUUCUUGGCUGAAGCGGGUAUAUCCAGACAGCUCCUGAAGCCUCCUCUGAAGAAGCUCCCACUAGGAGGCCUCCUAAAUCAAGGCCCUGGGCUGGAGGAAGACAUCCCAGAUCCAGAGGAGCUCGACUGGGGGUCCAAGUACUAUGCGUCGCUGCAGGAGCUCCAGGGGCAGCACAACUUUGAUGAAGAUGAAAUGGAUGAUCCUGGAGAUUCAGAUGGGGUCAACCUCAUUUCUAUGGUUGGGGAGAUCCAAGACCAGGGUGAGGCUGAAGUCAAAGGCACUGUGUCCCCAAAAAAAGCAGUUGCCACCCUGAAGAUCUACAACAGGUCCCUGAAGGAAGAAUUUAACCACUUUGAAGACUGGCUGAAUGUGUUUCCUCUGUACCGAGGGCAAGGGGGCCAGGAUGGAGGUGGAGAAGAGGAAGGAUCUGGACACCUUGUGGGCAAGUUCAAGGGCUCCUUCCUCAUUUACCCUGAAUCAGAGGCAGUGUUGUUCUCUGAGCCCCAGAUCUCCCGGGGGAUCCCACAGAACCGGCCCAUCAAGCUCCUGGUCAGAGUGUAUGUUGUAAAGGCUACCAACCUGGCUCCUGCAGACCCCAAUGGCAAAGCAGACCCUUACGUGGUGGUGAGCGCUGGCCGGGAGCGGCAGGACACCAAGGAACGCUACAUCCCCAAGCAGCUCAACCCCAUCUUUGGAGAGAUCCUGGAGCUAAGCAUCUCUCUCCCAGCUGAGACGGAGCUGACGGUCGCCGUAUUUGAUCAUGACCUCGUGGGUUCUGACGACCUCAUCGGGGAGACCCACAUUGAUCUGGAAAACCGAUUCUAUAGCCACCACAGAGCAAACUGUGGGCUGGCCUCCCAGUAUGAAGUGUGGGUCCAGCAGGGCCCACAGGAGCCAUUC